UAGAGGCUUCCUCUGUGAUUACUGGUCUUAAACAUCAAAGGUAUAUAAAUAAAUAAUGCUUUGUUGCAAAUUCUAGCAAAGCAGCUCUUUGAAUGAAAGCUUGAAAUACAGGCAGGUCAUCAGUGAUCCAGCUCUGACUGUCAGCUUUCCCAUUUCAAACAGGUAAUGUUCAGACGUGGUUUAUAUGCCUGUGAUUCUUCAAAAUGACACAACUGUGGAGUUUUAUGCACCUCUUACUCCUACUUAUCUUCCAGUCUGAUAAUCAUGGUGCAGUAGCCAAAAACAUUGAUAGCACUUAGGAAGAAGAGCUGAGACUGAGUCAAGUGUCAAGUAAAUACACUGAAAGAAAUUCUAAUGUCUGCAAGUCACUGAAAAUCUCAUAAUUAAGUACAGUGAAGAUGAGAUUUCACUUACAGAGAUUCAAGCCAAAAACACUGUGAAAAAUUACAGUUGAGAAAGGAUGAAUUAGCCAAAGGUGUCACUGAAAAGGAGAUUACAUCAGCUGCCCUUCUGGAACUUAAUUAAAAAAACUACAUUUCCAAAUGCCUUGUACCAAGGAGUGCUUUGGAGCCAUUUGGAGGCUAGAGGCUGGAGUAGAGUAAUGGGGCAAAAUGUAUUUAAAAGUACCUGUGUUCAGUCAAAGUCCCAUUUUUCAAAAGCUCAAGUCCUUGGAUGCCUAUCUUACAUGGGCAUCUUGGGGAGUCAGAAGCAUGGGCACUUUCGGAAAACAUUGCCUGGUUCCUACUUAAAAAACUAACCCUUUGCUAGACAACUCUCAGUGGAAAACAAUCUUAAGGCACUUCGGAAAAGUUCUCCUUAAGUUUCUUUAUGGCCUAAAAAAGUGUCUGGGGAGGAAACAUUACAGAGAAUUACUGUGAGAAUUAUUUUGCACAGCUAUUCAGAGAUCUGGUCACAGAAAGGUAUACUUGAGAACUGCCAAAAGAACUCCAGUUCACCACCUGCACUGACCAGGUCUGCACAAUUUUUGUGCAGGGAAAGUUAAUCUGGAAGUCCAGUGUUGGUGUUCUUGGCUGUGAUUGGCUCACAGGUCCAUUGUUGGCUGCAUUAACCCACUGUAUUACUUCAUUGGUAAUUCUAUCUUGGUGUUAAUUCUGUCAGUUCACUUUAAAAUUCCUUGUGGUAUGAAAUCCAGGUGCAUGCUGUAGCAGAGCAGUGCAGUAAUGAGAGGUCUUUAAAGGUAAUUGCAUACUCUACUAUGUUCUGGAAUUACUGUCUUGGGGCUUCCCAAUCAUUCUACAGUCUUCAUAUGCAGUAUUUAUUAUAGUAUUUGGUUUAAGAUAAGACACUAAUAGGUUACAUAUGUUUGAUUAAGGAGCUGAUGAGAGUUCUAGGGGAAAAUCAGGUUUGAAGAUCUGGAGGAUUAUUAAUAUUUAAGGUCUUCAGAUACUCUCUUGCUGGCUCAUGAAAAUGUCAUUGAAACACAUUGUCUCACUCUGUUAUUCAUUUCCUUGAUAAGAAUUCAUCCCUGAAUAAAGGCUAGCUAGAAACUGAGAAAAGCCUGAAAUGAUCCCUCUUGUUUUAGAUUAAGACCCUGUAGACAAAUCUUCAAGAGUAAGCAACUGUGGAAAUCCUUGGUAAAAUGUAAAUCUCCUUGCCAAUGGCUGCUCUGGGCUCCCAGGCAGGCCAAGCUCCCUGGCACCAUCAGGCCCUGUGGGUUCUGGCCAUGGGGCAAGGGUCAUUAGCACUGCUGGGGAAGAGAGGACACCUGGGAGAGGUGAGCUGCUGCCAGGCAUGGAUAGAUAUCUGGCAGGGCAGGGGUUUUCAUGAGGUCUGCUCCAAACAUCACUUGAGAGCUUGUAGCACUGAGUUAACUUGCUUGACUAUUAUAUUAAAAGGCUUUUUAUGCUAUCUUUAUGAAAAUACUUGUUUCUUGCUACUGAACAUCAAAUACCUGCUACAGCCUCUUUCUUCUGCCUGGGCUUUCUGAGGGGAGCUUUUUUAACUCGCUGCUGCCCUAAUCCCUCAUUUUCCUUCUCCAUCAGCCUCAGAUUCCAGGCAGAGCUGAGGCACAGAGUAGCCAUCGUUUGUGUCCACAGGUACUAGGAAAUCAUUACACGAUUUCUGACUGCCUCAGCUCCUCGCCCUUGUUGUGCCUGGGGAAGAAAAUAUGGCAGAAAAAGUGAUGAAUGUGUGCAUGGCUUUGAACUGGAAAGCCAAAGGUAUCCUUGCAUUUGCUGCUGCUUUAAUUUAUCACUUCCCUGCACAGCAGCAAGUACAUUUCUAAAUAUUCACAGCUGGGCUACAGAUACACCUGGUAUGGAAGGUGUAACAUUUAUUCAAACAAGCCCCAGUUUCCACCCCCUCUUCACUACAAAUGUGCUCAUCAGUGAGCUCAGGUAGACUUGGGCCUGAAGCACUGACCAGAUAGAUACCCCAGCAGAAACUGAACCGUGUCCAACAACAGCUGGAUAUUUCUUAUUUGCAUCUGCUUUUUAACUUGUUUGCGGUUUGUUUUUGGCUCAGAUGAAUUAUUCCGACUUUCCUUUCUCUGGAGAAACAUCCAUUGACAGCAGUGACAUCUUGCUUGAAGGAAGAUGGUGCUGAACAGAAAUCACAGCUGCUGUGGGAAAUGGUAUGUUACCGUGCCCAGCUGCUGUUUGCAGCCAACGAGCUAUUUCUGAGCAGGUUUCUAGUUUUAGACCAACGGGAACCUGUGAUUAUCAAAGAAGUUGUGAGAACCUCUUGAAUGCCCCAUCCCUGGAAGUCUUUAAGAACCGGUUGGAUGGGGCCCUGGGAAACAUGAUCUAGUGGAAGGUGUCCUUACCCAUGGCAGAGAAACUAGGUUACCUUUAAAGUUUCCUUUGAACACAAAGCAUUCCAUGAUUCUAUGAAUUUAGCCAUUACUGGGAGCUGUGAAAAUUUCACCAAGGAUACAAAAUUGCCAUGAAAAGAUCUAUGUAUUUUCUAACUUCCAAAUACGAAGUUACUCCACAUGCAUUUAAUCACUGUGUAUUUCUGUGUGUACGUUGUGAGCCCUGGGAAAACGUCCAGCAACCGAAGGAAAAACCGAAGGUUAAAUGAGAUCAAGUAACAAUGCUUUGGCUUUGGACAUGGAACAUGAAGAAGAGUUCCCACAACUGAAGUGGUUCAUGUGACAAGUGUCAAGUUUACACAACAAUAGAGGAAUGUCAUGCACAACUGUCAUCUGGAGCCUUCUUUGUGAAUAGAAUUUGCAUUUUGUCAUGGUAUCAACGUCCCAGUCUCCACUGUGCCUGAGAAUCAGGAACCUCAAAUUGUCCCUUGCAUGGCAGCAGCUAAUCAAGUUUUGAAGGUAUGUUUUGCAAGGUAAAGUCUAACCAAAGUGCAGUUUCUAAGACCAACUUCAAAUUCACUAGUGCUAAGAAUUGUGAAGAGACACAGGUCAUUGGCAAGCCUAUAAUAAGGUAAUAGCAAUUAUCUCUGUGUGACAGUCCUCCUAGUGCCUUAGAUUACCAGCACCACCUUUUAUGUGGUAAGAAAUAACAGCAUCUGUAGGAACAGGGCUUGUGGAGCUGACUGAGAAGAGAAUGGCUUUGGACUUUGAUGAUAGAGAAAUUUGAGAUGAAUCCUCACCAUACUGAUGGUAUAUUUCAUGUCUAACUCUGGACAUUGUAGGAUGUGGAUUUCCCCUUUGCCUCUAUGCACUUCUUCUCAAAUACCCAGGUUUAGAAUUCAGAUUCAUAAAAAUACAAAAGUAGUGGACUCCGAUUUCAUUCUCUGUUCUUUGGUUAAAGCAGUGAAUUUAGGGUAUAAAUAUCUUCCGACAAUCUUGUCUGGAUCUCCUCAGAUGUUUUGAAUGCACUGCACAGUAGAAAAGAAGAAUCAUAUUCCUUCUAGUUAAUUCCCUUGGUAACUAUGUAGCCAAAAUUACAUUUACUAGAUUCAAUAAGAAAAAUUAUCUAUCUUACCCAUUUUCAUCACUUUAAGUUGCAAUAGAGAGCUUAUAAAGAGUGUUAAUAUCUGCAAUUUUCCAGAGGCUAAACCAGAAGCAAUUAGGGACCUUGUAUGAUACCUACUAAGUGCAAACCAGCGUAUUAUUGUUCCAUUAUUUCCUAGAGCUCCUAUUUGAAACCUGGUAGAAUAUCCAAUGAGCUGAAUAAGUUUAUCAUAAGAAUAUAAAUCUCACGGAUUUCUGUCUUGUACAAACACUCCUGUUGAGAAACAAAGAUUAGACACAUGUCAUGAAAUAAAAUGCUGCCACGGGUAGGAGUAGCUCUUUCAGUGGAGCCCAUCACACAGCAAGUACUGGUGGAGAUCACUAUUUAUUUUUUUAAGGUAAAGGCAGCAUUAGAGGGUAUUUAAAUGGACAUUAAGGAAUUAGUGACUGUGAUUUAAUAAUAAUUUGUUGUUUAACAGAUGAGUGGGUCCCUAAAACAUAGGGUGAAAUAACUGGAAUAACCGAAAUGCUUGCUUGAAAAUUUUCAAAGCACUUGCUUUAUAAAAGUCAAAUGAAAGACCAGUAUCCCAAAUUGUACUUAGAAUAAGCAUACAAAAAUGUGUCAGUGUUAGGGGGUACUGCCUCAUUAACAUGAGGAUGCCCCAUUAACAUUAUCAGCCAGACAAUGGCCACCAUACAGAAGGUUAUGGCAGAAGUGGUAUAUCAUACCAUGCUGCUGUCUUUUAUGUUGUUGCAAUGAAGGAUUCUUGUUUCACUAACUUCAACCCACACUUCGUAUUUAAAGGCAAGGAAAUGAAGCUUCUAACAAAGCACUUUUUGAACAUGACCACUCUUUCACCAGAAGAACAGAGGACGUUUUCUCCCUUUCAGAAAAGUGCCAGGGACUCCCUUUCCCAGUGAGCAGUGAGGUGAGAGGUUAUAUUUGCAAAUCCUUUCUGAGCCCUGUGACACGCUUAUGGUGUAGAGGCCUUACAGAUCAUCUGUGAGGCAUACCUUACAAAUCAAAUCUCAUCGUAAACUUUGACACUGUACUGCUUAUGUAAUCAGAAGCAGGUAGCCACGAGUGAUUAUCUGAGCUCUGUGCCUCCCACUGGCAAGCUACCUUCAGAAAAAGAUGUUCUACUAGAGAUCUGCUUGAAAGAUAGGGAACUAUAAAGAAGACAUACAGUUACUUGUUUUUCCAUAGAUGGUUGCAAUAAAAUUUAGUUACUGGCAAAUGUGCCAUAUGUAUAUGCACUAAGAAACAAUAGGUUUUCUGCAUUCUGUAGCUUUGCAUUUCCUGGGUCUGAAGCCAUGACAGCCAUAAUUUCAUUGUUUGGCUGAGUUAAUGUGGCAUAUGCAGGUAUCAAUGCUGCUUUCUCAUGAAGACUGGACUCUUAACUUUGAUGUUUUGUUGCUUUUCCUUCAUCAGGUAUAGGUUUCUUGGGCAUAGGCAAAACUUUUUAGAGCAUGAAAAGAUAUACUGGCAAGAAUGAACAUUCUUACUGGAGAGUGAGUGCUUACAUGUUGUCAGUGGUACAGGUUUAGAGGGAACAUAGCAACAUAGCACAGAGAAGGAACUUGGAAUGAGUAUAAGGUAAUCCCUUGAAAGACUGAGGCUAUUUUAGAGGUCAUGCCAAUAUAUUCACCUUCUGUGAGGCACAAGGCUGUUCAUUAACCACUUCAUUAUUACAGAAAUGGCAGUGGUGAUAAAUUCUAUUAAUGCCCAUCUACUUCCUAGAUUUAUGUGAUUUAAACUUUCAUUCCCCCACCAGACUCACAGGUGCCUCAAAGGUACUGUAUAUAUUCAGCAGCCCUACAGAGUUUACAUGUUUAAUGCAUGAAAUUGCCCAUGUCCAAUCUCUCCUCUUUUAUUAUCAAGGCAUAAAGUAAUGAUAAGUAGGAGUACCCAACUAGGAAAGGUGAGAUCUCAGAUCCAAACCUGCCUAAGAUAAAUAUUUAAUAAGAAAGGGUCAUAUUUAUUAAUAAUAUCUUAAUAGUAUAGUCUUUAAAGGAUAGAGGGACUUUAAAACAGGUCUCAUGUAGGUCUUCAAGCAGCCAGGCUUCAGGGUCUGCAUUCUCCUUCUCUGCAGAACAGUUAACUAUUUCCACAGCACUGAUUUCUCAUUACCAUGGAAAGUUUUGGACUAGCCCACUUGGAAUGCCUGGCCUCUUGGAAUGUAGCUAUUCUGACAAAAUAAACACGGUCAGCACGGUUUAAUGGUCAGCACACUCCUGGUUUUGGCCAGGGUCAGCCAGCACAAACCUCAGUAAUACCUUGGCACAGUUUAAGUGUUAACACCCUUCAAUGUCAUCUUCCAUGGGCAGUUUGAAAGUGGUUUCUCAUCUUUGGAAAUGUUAGAGAGUGUGGCUAUGACAUCAGGAGUUGUACCAUGCCAUGUUAGGCAUGUUUGCAUGGGUUACAUCACCCCUGCAUUUUCUUAUAGAUAAGGGCAAGGCUCCAAUCCUGCUGCUUUCAGACAUCCCGCUCAAUCCCUCAUGUCUUGACUUCAUGUCAUGAUGUAUCCUUUUCCUUCAGCUGUCUGUUGUGAAUAGGAUCUGCAUAGUGUGCAGAUUCUUGCUGAGUUACAAGGACGUGAGUUCCUAUAGUUGGAUGCCAAGCCCUGGGAGAUACAUCCCUCUCUGCAACAUUUCCUGUUUCAGUCAGUUUGGUCUGCUGCUAGAUAAGACUGAUCAUACGAGAUACACCUGUGCUUUGUCUGUGAAAUUUGGACACCCAGGCUGAGGGCUCCCAGAGAUAUGGAAAUAGGCAGUGUUGGGAAGUUCCAUGAUGAGCACGGUCAUGCGUAUGUACUCUAGAAUCCCAGGCAUAAGGGAUUACCGUGAACACACUGUAUCAACAUAGAAGCAUGAAACAUGGAACUUCCUCUUGAUUUCCUUGGUAAGAAGCACAUUGAUAUUUGGCAUGGAAGAGUCUAGUCUGUGCUUGGUGUGCAAUGCAAAUGUUUCUUUCUAAUUCAUUUCCUGCAUAAUUAGUAUAGGCUGCUAUAAAUCAUUCUGCAUAGUCACGACAUUGCAGGACUUUAUCAUUUUUGUAGGCCAGAGAGAGUCGCUGCAGUUCAGACAGAACAGUUCUGGCCUACUAGCUCAGCAGAGAAGACAACAGAGCACAGGUAGAAGAAAAAACCUUACCGUUUUAAAAACUGAGCCAAGGAAAUUGUCUCACACAUGCACAUUGAAAUCUUUACUGAUGCUUAAAGCUUAGUUCACUGGUACAAUGCUGACGUGGCUGGGUGGAGUCUUUGACAUCUCAUUAUCUCGACAUAAUGUCACAUUACUCUGAUGCACAUUCUGUUGUUAAAAUGUUAAAAUAACUCUUCAUUAUGUGAGAUACUACUGGUAUAUUUAAACAUCAUAGAGUCACAAAACCUGCUCAUAAAACAAACAUAUUCUAAACAUAUGUCAAGCACUCUCAAAAUUUGUACAAAAUGAUCUGAUGGUAGCUGGUGUCAUUACAUUUACGAGUUUUGGACACAAUGCCAUAUAGCAGACCGGCUGUGUGUCAUCAAGAGGAGAGGCUGACUUUAAGUAGCACUACAGGAGAAGAGAAACAAAAGAGAACCAAAUGAGUCAUUUUUAGAAAACAAAACUGGACAUCUUCUGGUAUACUCGAAGUUUUGCAAACUCUGUCUUAAAAAUCUUUUAAGGAAAUAGUCUCCUUUUUACAAUGGGAAGUUAGAAUUUAUAGUUGAUAAUUAUUAUUUAUGAUCCAUAAUGUCAAAUAGUAAAGAAAUGAGUAUGUUUCUGAACUCUUAAUCUUUUCAGCCAUUAGAUUUGGGAGUUUUUGUAAUGCAUAAUAUUGAUUGAUGUUGUUUGUCUAUGUGAUGAUUAAAUCCUGAAAUCAAUUUGGAGUUACCUUGUUGCAAAUUGGUUUUGUAAAUAGAUCAAAGAAGGAUUUCAGAAUGACUUUCUCGUAUUUUCUGUUGUGCUUGUCUAAUAAUCAGAAUAAAGAGGAUUUUAGUAGAUGAGGCUGCUUUAAAGUGGAUCAUUGGUAAGAUACUACACUACGCACACAUCUAAUAGAUA
ensembl:lncRNA